rnacentral:tRNA from 1 species
GGGGCUAUAGCUCAGUGGUAGAGCACACAUCUCACACGUGUGAGGUCCUGGGUUCGAUCCUCAGCACCA